CUGAGGCCCCAAGUGGCGCCGCGGCGGGGGAGCUUCUUCCCGAGGUGGCCGCUGCCGGGAGGCUGACGCGAAGGCUGUGGCGCGGGGCCAGCCCGGUAGAGGCAGAGAAGGAGAGACAGAGGGAGAGACUGAAGCUUCCUACAUUGCUAUGGGGAUAAGCUUUGAACCUGAGCUAUGCACCAGGCAAACUGUACCACUAUCCAAGCUCAUCAGCAGAAGAGCACUGAAGCAUGAAGACUUGUGACUUUAUUUUAGACUUUUGUGGAGAGAGAAGGAGCACGACAGGUUGGUGCCCUGACAUGUUGCCCUGUAACUUGCCACCAAUCACACAAUGGAAUUACAACAAAAAUCUCUAUAAUCAUUCUGCAUAUGAUGAUAGAGAAAUCAAUCUGAGUACACUAAAGAGCUAUGUUGUAGUUACUAUGCAUGUGCUUUUAUAAUCCCCAUAAGAAUGUAGCACUGUGGGAGUCAGGCGGUAGGUAGCUCAGCGGGUUAAGCGCAGGUGGCACAAAGUGCAAGGACCAGUGUUAAGGAUCCCGGUUCGAGCCCCUGACUCCCCACCUGCAGGGAAGUCGCUUCACAAACUGUGAAGCAGGUCUGCAGGUGUUUCUCUUUUUCUCCCCCUCACUGUCUUCCCCUCCUCUCUCCAUUUUUCUCUGUCCUAUCCAACAACAAUGACAUCAAUAACAACAACAAUAAAAAGACAAUAAGGGCAACAAAAGGGAAAAUAAAUAAAUAUUUUUUAAAAAAAAGUAUAAAGGAAGAAAGGAAAGAAGGAAGAAGUCAAGAAAAAGAAAAGGAAAAAAGGGCCCAGAGUAGUGAAAUCAGAGGCCAUGGUAAUCAUCAUCAUUGUCAUCCCAGAAUACAGAGUUGUCCAAAAAAUUGUGCUUUUUUUUUAAAAAAAAAAAGGUGAUUAGCUGAAACAAAAGGGAAUAAAUAAAUAAAUAUUUUUUUAAAAAACUGCAUUUAAAUGGUCCGGGAGGUGGCUCAGUGGCUAAGGCACUAGACUGUCAAGCAUGAGGUCCCGAGUUUGAUCCCCGGCAGCACAUGUACCAGAGGGAUGGCUGGUUCUUUCUCUCCUCCUAUCUUUCUCAUGAAUAAAUAAAUGAAUUCUUUAAAAAAAAAAAAAAACUGCAUCUAAAAACAAGGGCAACAAAAGGGAAAAUAAAUAUUAAAAAAUUUAAAAACAAAACAACAACAACAAAAAAAACAAUUGCAUUUAGGGGCUGCGGAGAGAGCCUAGUGGUUAUGCAAAAAGACUUGCAGGCCUGAGGUACCCAAGGUCCUAAAUUCAGUCCCUCAGCUCCCAGCACCAUCAUAAGCCAGAGUUGGGCAGUGGGGGAAAAAAAAAACAAAAAUACACCUGUGUUUAGGUUGGGAAGAUAGCAUAUUGAUUAUGCAAAGGCUUUGAUGGGGCCAGUGGUGGUGCAUCUGGUUGAGCACACGUUACAAUGUGCAAGGUCUCGGUUUCAAGUCCUGAUUCCCAUCUGCAGAAGGUAAGCUCUAUAGCAUUAUGAGUGUUGAAACUACUG